UUAAGUUCAGCGGGUAGUCCUACCUGAUUUGAGGUCAGACGACAUGAAAGGCUUGUCCAAAGACGACUGUAAGCGACCCCCCCGGCCAGCAACGAACGGCGCACUAAGCGUUAUGUUAUCACACCGUCGCUCGGACCUGACCAUAGGGGACCAGCUAAUGCGUUUAAAGACGAGCGGGCCGACAAGGGCCCGCAUACGUC
rnacentral:misc_RNA from 1 species